GACGAACGCUGGCGGCGUGCUUAACACAUGCAAGUCGAACGGAAAGGCCCUGCUUUUGUGGGGUGCUCGAGUGGCGAACGGGUGAGUAACACGUGAGUAACCUGCCAUUGACUUUGGGAUAACUUCAGGAAACUGGGGCUAAUACCGGAUAGGAGCUCCUGCUGCAUGGUGGGGGUUGGAAAGUUUCGGCGGUUGGGGAUGGGCUCGCGGCUUAUCAGCUUGUUGGUGGGGUAGUGGCUUACCAAGGCUUUGACGGGUAGCCGGCCUGAGAGGGUGACCGGCCACAUUGGGACUGAGAUACGGCCCAUACUCCUACGGGAGGCAGCAGUGGGGAAUAUUGCACAAUGGGCGGAAGCCUGAUGCAGCAACGCCGCGUGCGGGAUGACGGCCUUCGGGUUGUAAACCGCUUUCGCCUGUGACGAAGCGUGAGUGACGGUAAUGGGUAAAGAAGCACCGGCUAACUACGUG
rnacentral:rRNA from 1 species